UGAGUAACACGUAUCCAACCUGCCGUCUACUCUUGGCCAGCCUUCUGAAAGGGAGAUUAAUACAAGAUGGCAUCAUGAGUCCACAUGUUCACAUGAUUAAAGGUAUUCCGGUAGACGAUGGGGAUGCGUUCCAUUAGAUAGUAGGCGGGGUAACGGCCCACCUAGUCUUCGAUGGAUAGGGGUUCUGAGAGGAAGGUCCCCCACAUUGGAACUGAGACACGGUCCAA
rnacentral:rRNA from 1 species